GAUUUUAUAUUCAAAUUUAUGAUAUUAAAUUGCAAAUUUAAAGGUAUUAAUUUAUUUAA
rnacentral:tRNA from 1 species